AUUGAACGCUGGCGGCAUGCCUUACACAUGCAAGUCGAACGGUAACAGGUCUUCGGACGCUGACGAGUGGCGAACGGGUGAGUAAUACAUCGCAACGUGCCUAGUCGUGGGGGAUAACUACUCGAACGAGUAGCUAAUAACUCAUACGAUCUGAGGAUGAAAGCGGGGGACCUUCGGGCCUCGCGCGAUCGGAGCGGCCGACGGCAGAUUAGGCAGUUGGUGGGAUAAAGGCUUACCAAGCCGACGACCUGUAGCUGGUCUGAGAGGCCGACGAGCCACACUGGGGCUGAUACACGGCGCAGACUCCUACGAGAGGCAGCAGUGGGGAAUUUUGGACAGUGGUCGAAAGCCUGAUCCAGCAAUGCCGCGUGCAGGAUGAAGGCCUUAGAUUUGUAAACUGCUUUUGUACGGAACGGAAAAGCUCUUUCUAAUACAGGGGGCCCAUGACGGUGCCGUAAGAAUAAGCACCGGCUAACUACGUGCCAGUAGCCGCAGUAA
rnacentral:rRNA from 1 species